GAUACCAAUUCAAGCUGAUGAGUACAGGAAGUCCAUGCCAGUCAGACUCCAGACACCAUGGGGCCAACCCUGGGGUAUAAGGUUCAUUUCUAACUGACUGUAUUGUGACUUAUUUGAUGAUUUAUUUCAGUAAUAAAUACAUAAAAUGAAACAAUAUUGUAAAAGUAACUUCAAUGCAAUUUUAUAGUAUUUUAAAAAGCAUCUGUUGAACUCACAAAUCUUCAUUUUUAUUAAGUCUGUAUGAAUGAAAAACCUUUCCUGUGCCCCAACUUAAGAUUGACCAAUGUAAAACAAGGUCCCCACUUUGAAUUGAGUUUCCUGUGGCUGCAUGUGGACAUUUUGCAUCUCUGUGAAUCAGUAUAAAUUGUCCUAUCAAUCACUUCUGGAAAUAGAAUCAACUUCUGUCAUUCUGGACAUGGUAAGGAUAUGUGCAACCUAUCUACAUCUGCAUGUUGAAAGUUCUGUAAAUAAGUUACAUAAACAAACAGAAGAUGGACUCAGUGAAGUGAUCCAGAUGAAGAUUUCCAAGGGUCAACAAUAAAUGCACAAAUGCAAAAAGAUACAGUGAGCUCUGAAGUGGACGGAAAUGACAGGAAGAGUUAAAAGAUAUUGUAACUGUACUGAAAAAAGAACUGGUAUUAUCAACAUAUGAUGAAUAUUCUACCGAAUGCCAACAAAAACUAUAAGCCAUUAUUGCAGUGACAACAGAGAUUAACAAUGAUAAGAAAAACAUUCAUGAACAAGAAAUUAAAUAACCUUUGAGGUAUUGUUAUGUAAGUGUGCAUUAAUGAUUUAGUUUAAAAGAAUAUGGAAUAAAAUAUAGAUGUUUGUAUAUAAAGUUCGUAUCUAUAAGGUGUUUUAUUGUAACAGCAUGCCGUACUGCUCUGAAUGAUAGAAAUACAGACUUUUACAUUAA